AAACCUUCAGUCUAUGGGGAUUUUAAAUUGCAAAUUUAAAGAGUUUGGUUUA
rnacentral:tRNA from 1 species